ACUCAAAUGAAUAGACGGGGGCCCGCACAAGCAGCGGAGCGUGCGGUUCAAUUCGAUGGCACGCGAAGAACCUUACCCAGGCUUGACAUGCACGUGGUACCGAACCGAAAGGGGAGGGACCCGCAAGGGAGCGUGCACAGGUGUUGCACGGCCGUCGUCAGCUCGUGUCGUGAGAUGUUGGGUUAAGUCCCGCAACGAGCGCAACCCUCGGGGUCUGUUGUAUCCCUCAGGCCCGACUGCCGAGAGAAACUCGGAGGAAGGUGGGGAUGACGUCAGGUCAGCGUGGCCCUUACGCCUGGGGCUACACGCACGCUACAAUGGCUGGUCACAGCGAGUCGCGACAACGUGAGUUGAAGCUAAUCUCUCAAAACCAGCCUCAGUUCAGAUCGGAGGCUGCAACUCGCCUCCGUGAAGUCGGAGUUGCUAGUAACCGCGGGACAGCACACCGCGGUGAAUAUGUUCCCGGGCCUUGUACACACCGCCCGU
rnacentral:rRNA from 1 species